AAUGGUUUCUCCCUUUACACCCGCUGUGAAGUUCAGUGUUUUUCUAUUCAUGAUUGGACAUGUCCUAGACAUCACUUAGAGGAUUUUGUUGUUGUUGUUUAUUAAACAAGGUCUUCUGUCACACAAGAUGGCACGUUGGACAUUCCUUAUUUCCCUUAAUAAAGGGAAAAAAACCCUCUGCUUUGCAGGAAAAGUAAAAGAAGAUGAGUUUUAACAGACUCCUUUCUGUAAAACUGAAUGAUGGAAAGUUCAUGCCUAUUCUGGGGUUUGGCACCUCUGUUGCUAGGAAGGUUGCUAUGAGUAAUGUAGAAGAAGCCGUCCAGGUAGCAAUUGAUGUAGGCUACCGCCAUAUUGACUCAGCUUAUACACACCUGAAUGAAGAAGGCAUCGGGCAGGCCAUCCGAAAGAAGAUUGCCAACGGCACUGUGAAGAGAAAAGAUAUAUUCUAUACCACAAAGGUGUGGGGCACCUUUUCCCGCCCAGAAUUGGUCCAAAGAGGCCUUGAAAUGUCACUGAAGAAACUUCAGCUGAGCUACAUGGAUCUUUACCUUUUUCAUUUCCCAGUACCUUUGCAGCCUGGGAGGAGCUUUUGCUGACGGAUGCACAGGGAAAGAUCAUGUUUGACACAGUGGGUCUCUGCAGCACAUGGGAGAGUUUUACUCCUGUUGCCAAGGCUGGAGUACAGUGGCACGAUCUCGGCUCACUGCAACCUCCGCCUCCCAGGUUCAAGCAUGUACCUCUGCCUCCCACAUGGCUGGGAAUACAGGUGGAAUAUCACCCUUACCUCAACCAAAGCAAACUCCUGGAGUACUGUAAGUCCAAGGACAUUGUCAUGACUGCAUAUUCUGCCUUGGGGUCUGACUCAGACAAAGACUGGGUGAAAAAAGGAAACCCAGUUCUCCAGGAGGAUCCAAUACUCAAUGCCAUUGCUGAAAAGCCCAGGCGAACUCCAGCCCAGGUUGCCUUGUGCUACCAGCUGCAGCGCGGGGUGGUGGUCCUGGUGAAGAGCUUCAAUGAGAAGAGAAUCAAAGAAAACUUCCAGGUUUUUGACUUCUAGCUGACACCAGAGGACAUGAAAACCACAGAUGGCUUGAACAAGAAUAUAUGCCAUUUGUAAAUGUCUAUCUUUUCUCAUCACCCAGAUUAUCCAUUUCUUGAUGAAUAUAAAGAAAAGAGUCUGUGGUUGUUCCAGAGUUUAUUGAUUUGGGUUGAGAUGAAUAGAGAAUAUCUCAUGGAUGGGAAGUUUUCUAGUUUAUUCCAGAUUGAUUAGCCUGCUCAGUCACAAGUUGGCCUAAGACCCCGGAUCAGAAAAUAAAAGUAUCUAAACCUAGUUUUCUCUUGAUUCCCGCCCCCACCCCACCCCCACAACUGCCAAAAUAAAGAUGUAUUUGAAAUAA